rnacentral:lncRNA from 1 species
GGUUUUUAAGGGACGCGCAUUUUCGGCGGCCGAACUAAUCUUCGGCGGCCGAAACUGGGCAAGUUUAGGAGGCCGAACUUAAACUUCGGCGGCCGAAACUUCAUAAAGUUCGGCGGCCGAAUAAAGUGUUAGGCGGCCGAAAAAGAGAAAAGAAAAAGACAAGAAAAUUCCCGCUUUUCAUAUUGCCCUUGAAAUUGAAGGUUAGGGGGCCGAAUGUGCCUCCGAACCUGGAAUUUUUGGGCUUCC